GAUCAUGGCUCAGAACGAACGCUGGCGGCAGGCUUAACACAUGCAAGUCGAACGCCCCGCAAGGGGAGUGGCAGACGGGUGAGUAACGCGUGGGAAUCUACCUAGUUCUACGGAACAACAGUUGGAAACGACUGCUAAUACCGUAUACGCCCCAAGGGGGAAAGAUUUAUCGGAAUUAGAUGAGCCCGCGUAAGAUUAGCUAGUUGGUGGGUAAUGGCCUACCAAGGCGACGAUCUUUAGCUGGUCUGAGAGGAUGAUCAGCCACACUGGGACUGAGACACGGCCCAGACUCCUACGGGAGGCAGCAGGUGGGAAUAUUGGACAAUGGGCGCAAGCCUGAUACCCAGCCAUGCCGCGUGAGUGAUGAAGGCCUUAGGGUUAGUAAAGCUCUUCAGUGGGGAAGAUAAUGACGGUACCCACAGAAGAAGCCCCGGCUAACUUCGUGCCAGCCGCCGC
rnacentral:rRNA from 1 species